AUUGAACGCUAGCGGGAUGCUUUACACAUGCAAGUCGAACGGAGUGGCGGACGGGUGAGUAAUAUAUGGGAAAGUGCCUGGUAGCGGGGGAUAACUACUGGAAAGGGUGGCUAAUACCGCAUACCAUCGGAGCGGCCGAGAUCGGAUUAGCUAGUUGGUGGGGUAAAGGCUCACCAAGGCAACGAUCCGUAGCUGGUUUGAGAGGAAGACCAGCCACACUUGUACUGAGACACGGCCCAGACUCCUACGGGAGUCAGCAGUGGGGAAGAUUGGACAAUGGGGGAAACCCUGAUCCAGCCAUCCCGCGUGUAUGAUGAAGGCCUUCGGGUUGUAAAGUACUUUUGGCAGGGAAGCGGUAUCUGCAGAAGAAGCACCGGCUAACUACGUGCCAGCAGCCGCGGUAAUAC
rnacentral:rRNA from 1 species